UACGUAGGUGGCGAGCGUUGUCCGGAUUUACUGGGCGUAAAGGGAGCGUAGGCGGACUUUUAAGUGAGAUGUGAAAUACUCGGGCUCAACUCGAGUGCUGCAUUUCAAACUGGAAGUCUAGAGUGCAGGAGAGGAGAAUGGAAUUCCUAGUGUAGCGGUGAAAUGCGUAGAGAUUAGGAAGAACACCAGUGGCGAAGGCGAUUCUCUGGACUGUAACUGACGCUGAGGCUCGAAAGCGUGGGGAGCAAACAGG
rnacentral:rRNA from 1 species